AAGCCCACCACCAAUACUGCAAGCCUAGGCAGAACCUUUAAAGCUGUUGGCCCACCAGCAACAUCUCUUUACUCAAUCCAGUUAACACCAUUCCUUCACGUUUGGGAGUCUAUCACGUCCAACUCAUGGGUUCUCAUGAUCAUAGCCACAGGAUAUGCAAUUUAAUUUGACUCUACACCUUGCACGGGGCUGCUUAGAGACACUGCUCCCUCCCUCAUACUGCAACAGGAGUUUGAUGCACUUCUUUUGAAACAUGCCAUUACCCUGGUUCACAUCCCAGAUAUUGCGCAUAGUUGACCCGCCCUUCCUGCAAUUCCACCCUGAUAAGGUGACCCUAUUCCCAGACCUCUCAUUUGUUACGAAGGUGGCUACGGCCUUCCACCUUAAUCAACCUAUAGUAUUGCCUACCUUUUUCCCGGCUCCAAUGUCGAAGCUGGAAAGGGCUGUCCACUCCUUGAAAGUCAAGAGACCACUUUCCUAUUAUGUCUCCUGGUCUGCGUCCUUUUGUUCCCCACUAAGACUGCUUGUGUCCUUCCAAGGACAGUCAAAGGGUCCCCAAUGUCGGCACAAACAAUUUCCCGGUGGAUAUUUACUACAAUCGGCCUAGCAUACGAACUGGCUCAUGCACCUUUGCCUACAGUUCGGGCCCAUUCCACUGGAGCAACCACCUCCUCCACAGCCUGCCUUAGAGGGGUAGACCUGGCAGAUAUCUGCAAGGUUGCUACGUGGUUCACGCUGCUCACCUUUACGACUCACUACUGCUUAUGUUUGAGUCAAAAGCAGAGGCUGCCGUUGGACAGGCUGUCUUGGCAUCUGUUUUUUCGUGAUACCCCUCCUCUGGGUAAGUCUGCUUGCUAGUCACCCAUUAGUGUGCAUUCAGAGACACCACGAAGAAAAAGAGGUUACCUACCUGUGAAUCUGGUUCUUCAAGUGGUCAUCUGUGAAUUCACACUCCCCGCCCUUCCUCCCCGCUGUACAUCACGUGUGCCAUAUGGCAUGCUGUGCAGCGGCGGACAGUUCCAUGGAACUGAGGUACUCUGUGCCAGGGGUGGGGUUAUAGCCAGCGUGUGGGGAGUCCCGGCACCAGGU
rnacentral:lncRNA from 1 species